AUUUUAGUUUAAUAAAAAUAAAUUAUUUACAAUUAUUAGAUAUUUAUAUAUAAAUAAUACAUA
rnacentral:tRNA from 1 species